AUUGAACGCUGGCGGCAGGCUUAACACAUGCAAGUCGAGCGGGGGAGGUUACUUCGGUAACUGACCUAGCGGCGGACGGGUGAGUAAUGCUUAGGAAUCUGCCUAUUAGUGGGGGACAACAUUCCGAAAGGAACGCUAAUACCGCAUACGCCCUACGGGGGAAAGCAGGGGAUCUUCGGACCUUGCGCUAAUAGAUGAGCCUAAGUCGGAUUAGCUAGUUGGUGGGGUAAAGGCCUACCAAGGCGACGAUCUGUAGCGGGUCUGAGAGGAUGAUCCGCCACACUGGGACUGAGACACGGCCCAGACUCCUACGGGAGGCAGCAGUGGGGAAUAUUGGACAAUGGGGGGAACCCUGAUCCAGCCAUGCCGCGUGUGUGAAGAAGGCCUUUUGGUUGUAAAGCACUUUAAGCGAGGAGGAGGCGCUCUAGGUUAAUACCCUAGAUGCGUGGACGUUACUCGCAGAAUAAGCACCGGCUAACUCUGUGCCAGCCGCCGCCGUAA
rnacentral:rRNA from 1 species